CAGUGGUUUCAACGCCGAGUAGUAAGUCAUGAGGACAAAGCAAGGAGAGUGAUAUAUUGGUAUUAUAUCCAGGAAAUAUAAAGGCUAAACAAAAUAAUUCCACUCUCAACCUCACUGAAUUUUGUAGCUUAAUUCACCCUGGACCUUUUGCGGCAAAAUAUAUUUAUGGACGAUAUUCCCUGUGGUUUUGCCCCAAGCCCAGAAUGAGCUAAUGAUAAACGCAAUUAAGUGGAAAUUGUUUUUGAAUCUAAAUGAACUUCAAUAAUCUAACUAGCUGGUAAGGGAAUCAUAAGCUAAAGAAGAUAGUUGCCUUGCAUGUAGGCAGAAGCAAUUCAGCAAGAAAUUCAAACUAAGUCUGUCAGAUUUUACCAAUGCCAAUCCUACCCAACAGCAGCCCACCGUACCAGCGUUAA